rnacentral:rRNA from 1 species
UACGUAGGGUGCAAGCGUUAAUCGGAAUUACUGGGCGUAAAGCGUGCGCAGGCGGUGAUGUAAGACAGAUGUGAAAUCCCCGAGCUCAACUUGGGAACUGCAUUUGUGACUGCAUCGCUGGAGUGCGGCAGAGGGGGGAUGGAAUUCCGCGUGUAGCAGUGAAAUGCGUAGAGAUGUGGAGGAAUACCGAUGGCGAAGGCAAUCCCCUGGGCCUGCACUGACGCUCAUGCACGAAAGCGUGGGGAGCAAACAGG